GCUUCCUAAAGCGAGCGAACCCAGUCAGCACCUCUUGAAAUGGAGAUGGUCACUUCUUCAGAUAGCUCCCCAGCUCUGGAAAAUGAGCAUCCUCAAGAGACCCCAGAAUCCAACAAUAGUGUGUAUACUUCCUUCAUGAAGUCUCAUCGCUGCUAUGACCUGAUUCCCACAAGCUCCAAAUUGGCUGUAUUUGAUACUUCCCUGCAGGUGAAGAAAGCUUUCUUUGCUUUGGUGACUAAUGGUGUACGAGCUGCCCCUUUGUGGGAUAGUAAGAAGCAAAGUUUUGUAGGCAUGCUAACCAUCACCGAUUUCAUCAAUAUCCUGCAUCGAUAUUAUAAAUCAGCCUUGGUACAGAUCUGUGAGCUGGAAGAACACAAGAUAGAAACUUGGAGAGAGGUGUACCUACAGGAUGCCUUCAAACCACUCGUCUGCAUUUCUCCUAAUGCCAGCUUGUUCGAUGCUGUCUCUUCAUUAAUUUGAAACAAGAUCCACAGACUGCCAGUUAUUGACUGGGAAUCAGGCAACACUUUGUACAUCCUCACCCACAAGCACAUCCUCAAGUUCCUCAAAUUGUUGAUCACUGAGUUCCCCAAGCCAGAGUUCAUGUCUAAGUCUCUGGAAGAGCUACAGAUUGGCACCUAUGCCAACAUUGCUAUGGUCCGCACCACCACCCCUGUCUAUGUGGCUCUGGGCAUCUUUGUUCAACACCGAGUCUCAGCACUGCCAGUAGUAGAUGAGAAAGGGCGUGUGGUGGACAUCUACUCCAAGUUUGAUGUUAUCAGUCUGGCAGCAGAAAAGACCUGCAACAACCUAGAUGUGUCUGUGACCAAAGCCCUACAACAUCAAUCCCAUUACUUUGAGGGUGUCCUCAAGCGCUACCUGCACGAGACUCUGGAGACCAUCAUCAACAGGCUGGUGGAAGCAGAGGUUCACUGGCUUGUCGUGGUGGAUGGGAAUGAUGUGGUCAAGGGGAUUGUAUCACUGUCUGACAUCCUGCAGGCCCUGGUGCUCACAGGAGGAGAGGAGCCCUGAGCUGGGGAAGGGGUCAGGCAGCACCAGGGGCUAUGCCCCACUCACUGCCUGCCCAAAGUUCUAGGAACCACAGGUGAAACCUUGAGAGAAUUGUGACUCUCUUCCCUGCUCGGGAGCCGGGGAGGGUGUGGGGGGAGGAAGGAGAAUGGAUUUUUAGCUGUCCUUAUCCUCAUGCAUACAGCCUAGCCCAUCCUAGCCCCAGCCCUCUUAGAUGUAGCCCCCUUUCUGGGUGAAUGAUAGGCUGUGUGCCCCUCAGGCCAAUUCUGAUCUCUGAGAGAUCCCCAGACCUCACCCAGCCUUUGCCUCCCUCUCUGCCCCUGACUCCACCCUAAGAUAAUAGCACAACAAAACUCUUCCGAAAGAUAUUUUUAUUCAUCCUGUUUCAUGCUAUAUGGAGGAGGCUGAGUCCAUUUAGUGACAUUUCUUCCCAUAAUGGGAGUGGGGAGGAUUGUAGGGAGGAGGGUCUUUGGGUUCCUGUGCUAUGUGCAUAUGAAGGGAGAUGGGGGUUAGGUGGAGGAGGAGGGCAGAGUGAUUAGCUGAGGUUGUUGCUUUUCAUGGCAAACCUAAUUAAAAUGACAGGA